AGACCCGAAACCCGGUGAUCUAGCCAUGGGCAGGUUGAAGGUUGGGUAACACUAACUGGAGGACCGAACCGACUAAUGUUGAAAAAUUAGCGGAUGACCUGUGGCUGGGGGUGAAAGGCCAAUCAAACCGGGAGAUAGCUGGUUCUCCCCGAAAGCUAUUUAGGUAGCGCCUCGUGAAUUCAUCUCCGGGGGUAGAGCACUGUUUCGGCUAGGGGGCCAUCCCGGCUUACCAACCCGAUGCAAACUGCGAAUACCGGAGAAUGUUAUCACGGGAGACACACGGCGGGUGCUAACGUCCGUCGUGAAGAGGGAAACAACCCAGACCGCCAGCUAAGGUCCCAAAGUCAUGGUUAAGUGGGAAACGAUGUGGGAAGGCCCAGACAGCCAGGAUGUUGGCUUAGAAGCAGCCAUCAUUUAAAGAAAGCGUAAUAGCUCACUGGUCGAGUCGGCCUGCGCGGAAGAUGUAACGGGGCUAAACCAUGCACCGAAGCUGCGGCAGCGACGCUGAUGCGUUGUUGGGUAGGGGAGCGUUCUGUAAGCCUGCGAAGGUGACCUGUGAGGGUUGCUGGAGGUAUCA
rnacentral:rRNA from 1 species